AUGGGGUCGCUGUGUCCAUUUCUUUUACUGUCUAUGGUGGGACCCGAUUGUUCAAGAUGCAUUUUAAGGGAAGAUACGACUCUUUUCUCAUGUUUAUCUUUUAUUUAACAUAAACAAACGUAUAUACUUUUAUAAUAGCGUUCAAAGCUCUGUCCCAGACGCUCUCGAGUUACGUUGAGACUGAGGAUUCCCCAAUCUUCCACAAUGGACUUCACAUAGGAUGAACUGUUUCCAGUUUCAGCAAAACAGCAAGAAUUUAUGAAUGGAUGACUGCACCUUAGCACUCUUCACUCCCACUGCAUGCCUCACCUGGGCCACAGAGAAAACAAUGUUGCUGCCUGUACAUGGCACAUUUAACCUCUAACCUUACAGCUGAAUGUUCAGACUGAAUAUACAGAGGAGAACUGGUCCCCAGUGUUUUUGGUUAGUCUGGUUUCUCCAAAGGUUUUUUUUACUCCAGUAUCGACAUCUUACAGUUUUUUCUUAAUUAACCCCUGUUGCCUUUGGCUUGCUUGCUGUAUGUAUGACGACUAAUGCAUUUAACACCAACUAUUAAAACAGUGAGGGUGUUUUUGACCACAUAGACACAAUAGUAUGUCUUUCUGUAAAAAUUAUUUGAAAAUGUUAUGCAUUUUGAAAAAUGUAUAAAUGUCUUACAUUGAUAGUGUGCAUAUUGCUUGAACAUUUAUUUGUAAAAAAAUUGUGUGGAAUUAUAUUAUAAUUGCAAGUUAUAAUUAACAAUUAUAAACUAGCUGCAUUUUUAGUUACUUUCAGUGCACAAACAGCCAUUAUUGCCUUACUAUUACUGAUUUGUAAUAGUACAAGUAACUGUUGUACUAUUUUAUGUACUGUGUUAUAUGAGUUAAAGUCAAUUACAAUUGUAAUUUCGUCAUCAUAAUGUGAUAAUUGCUGUAUGAUUUUCUUUGAAAACAAUAGCUUCUUAAAUAAUAUACAAUCAGCAAUUGCAAUACAUGAACUGCUUGUAAGCAAAACCAUAUAUAACAACAUAAGUAUACUUAUUACAAUAUUGAAAAUAAUGUAAAAAAUUACAUGAAUUAGGUAGUAAGUCAAAAUAAAUAAAAAUCAAAGUGUG